AAUAAAGUCGUUAUUUUGUUUUUUGGCGCAAAUAAAGUAUUCUCGUUGCUUCAUAACAUUAAGGUUGAACCACUGUAGUCACAUGAACUGUUUUAAAUAUGUCUGGGCAUUGAAAGUGUUAAUUAUUUUGCUGUCAAUGCAGGCCUCACUGAGCCAUCGGAUUUCAUCAAAAAUAUCUUAAUUUGUGUUCCGAAGAUGAACAAAGGUCUUAGGGGUGUGGAACGACACGAGGGUGAGUAAUUAAUGACAGAAUUUUCAUUUUUGGGUGAACUAACACUUUAAUACUUGAUUUUUGUGUGUUUUUUUUUUUUUUUUAAAUUGGAUUUUUGUGUUUAUUCUCUUUCAAGGAAUGACUACUUGUACUCUAGGCCAGACAAACCUGUGUCUGCAACAUAAUCAGAUUCACUAACAUCUAAACAACAUCUCCAGCAAGAACAACAACCAAUAGUACAGGAGUCCAGUGCAUGUUGUUUAUGCUGAGUCACCCUGGAUAAGGACAUAUUGAGUAUGAUGCUCGUGAAGGGCCCUGAUGUUUAUGGCUGACAACUCCAAUUUAUAUUGCUCCCUUCACAAGCCCCUGACCACAUGUGGCACUCCUAAAGAUGAGAGGGAGGGAGUCAGGAAGAGAAGAAUGCAGUGAAGUGAUGUUCUUUUUAUGGCCAUCUGUUGGACAGGCUCACUGGUAUGAAGGCGAUCCUCAGUAGAUUGCCAAUAUCUCCAGACGUUAGCUAAUAUGACUGAUCUUGGACCUGUUUGACCAUAAACGGCAGUCCUGUUAGGAUGACUCCAGAUUUGGUCCUCGAAAAUGGACUGUUUUUUAUUGUUUUCUUGUUGCAUAUAACACAGAUCAUGAGGUCUUUGAGGAGAGUCAGCUGUUUACAGAGUGCUGGCAAAUUUAGGUUCAUAGUAAGAUAUUAACUUUCAGUGUCGUUUGCAGUAAUGCUUAUUGCAUAUAAUGCACCUAUUCUAUUUAUGUCAGCAAGUUCUUGAUUUAUUAUACUAUCCUGGCAACUUAUUAAAUGAACGUGUUUUAUCAUUUUAUUUCGGUUUAAAGCUAUUAAUCAGUCUUCCCGUGGUGGCUUCAACACUCGCAGUUGUUUAGGGAACUAUAUUUCCUCUGCUCUCCGGGUCUUGCUGUGCUUAGGGAAAUGCAAUGGUCUUCCAGAUAUUUGACAGAUUUAUUUUUGGAGCCUUUGCCAUUGUUGGAAAGAGUACAUCCAUCUGUCAUGCCACCAAGGAGGGAUCAGGAUUUUAGAUCCAAGUCCAAAGGAUAUAAAUGUGUAUAAACUUGAUCUCUUCAUCAAGAUCUCAGUCUAGAAACAUCUUGAAGAAAUGGAGAAGAUGUUGGCAGCUCCUCUCACCUCUUUUUCCAACCUGAGACACAUUCUUUUCUUCCGAAAGCCAUUCUCCAUGUGAGACCAGAACCGAUGAUUUCUAAACCCACUGACCUCAUCUGGAACCUAUGGAAAAUAUCCUGAUGAAAAAUAUUUGCUCAUCACAUGCAUGUGAGCCUGUUGCAUGCAAGAAAGUAUAUUUGGUCAGCUCUUGGGAACACUGCAGUUUCAACACUUGAACUGAGUAAUCAAUAAUGAAAUAAAGAAAUAAUGCCAGA